rnacentral:tRNA from 1 species
AACAUAAUAGUUUAAUCAAAAACGUUGGGUUUGCGUCUCAAAAAUGGAUGAAGUUCUUUUGUUA